GGAGAGGUGGCAGAGUGGUUGAUCGCGCUCGCCUCGAAAGCGAGUAACGGCUAAACCCGUUCGUGGGUUCAAAUCCCACCCUCUCCGCCA
rnacentral:tRNA from 1 species